CUAAGCUCCUCGCUGCAAUUAUCUUCUCUGUUUACAGAGGCAGGCUGCGGUGAAUCAUUUCAUUUACAGUAAGCUUCGGAGUGUGAGAGUCAAGAGGGAGGCAACAAUGUGAUCCAGAGGGAGGACUACCUGUUCCCUCAUGACAGUACAACAGGGACAUGCUGUGGAUAGCUGGUCCUCUGCACCCUGCAAGUCUAUGAGCUCAGUGUAAAGCCGAACAGCUGGAGUACCAAAGAUCUGCAGUUUCCUUGGUGACAUCACGGCACACAGAAGGCCGGCCACGUACUGGGCCAAUAAAUGGAAAUUCCUGAAGAAAUCAAAGGCAGAACCUGCAUCCUGGAUACAAUGAUCCAACGAGGAAGUAGCAGGAUCAUUUCUGAUUGAGGCCAAGUUGGAUGUUUAAUGCAACCCUGAUUUCCAGUUCAAAGAUAACGCAAACUGCGACAAAUAACCGAUUGUUUUCUGUUUUGAGGUGGAGUAAACAACUAGCUUUGGGACGUAUUCCAACAGUUCUUUGGAUUGGAUAUCAUUUUUAUUAUACUUUGGAUUUUGUUGGAGUUUUACUAUGCAGACAACGGACCACCCAACAGCAGCAAUAAAUGUUCAGUUCAAGGCCCCACGCUACGUCGCAGUGGAGGUGGAGACAAAAGCGUGUGGGAGGACGCUCCCAAUGCACAUAGGAAAUCAAGUUUCCAUUGAUUGAUUCUUAAUGUGAAUUUAUUGCGCAUAAUGUGGACUUGAGGGAAAAUCUGACAAAUUGUGGAGGAAAACGCUCAGAGAAAAAGGCCAACAAUCGACAGGUUCACUCCUCUGUGAACAAGCAGUUGAGUUAAACAAUGACAAAAAGGGCCUACGAUAAUAUGAAUAAUCUGUAAAACACAAUGGAACUGCGUUUGGCAGAAAGGACACUUGGUUCUUUCCCAAUGUCAUACUGUGUAUGUUUAACAGUGUACUAUUUAGUCAUACUUUACUUGAGCUAAAGCUGUACGACAAAAGUAGCUCAGGUACAGUAGUAUUAAUGGUAACCAGCAAGAGUUAGACAUCACAGAAUAGCUUGCUUGCAAUAGUUGCUGAACUCCUAAUAUCAUUCUAAUAUCAUAGACUAGUAAACCUCAUUGAGUCAAGAAAAGCCAAUAGUAACCUGCUGAUGUCUGAUUCACAUUCAUAAAACCUUGAUCACAUGUACAUUGCCAUUUAUUAAAAAAUAUGAUCAACAAGGAGCAAAAAUAUAAGAAAAAAGCAGUGUCAUUCAGCAAUGCAAUGAUUUACUUUACCUUGCUUUACUUUUAUAGACAAAUAGAAAGCUACGGAGCUUUCUCAACUAUAAACAAAUGUUUGUCAGUACAAAAAAUGCUUUUUACAUUUUAUAUGCACUUAAUCAGUCUGUACCUUAGAGGAACAAAGCUGCAAAAUUAACACAGCUACUCAAAGUGUAACGUAAAGGCUAAAUAUGGCUGUCAGUCUUCUCAGAGAUGCUGGGAUUUGUUUUCUGUUAGUGUACUGAUACCUUGAGUAGAGUGUGAUACGAGGCCUUGUUUAACCUGUUUAAAUAUCAGAACCGUAUUAUUGUCACUACCAGUUUAAUUUCAGGGAGAUUAACACUCUUAGUUAUCACCUAAUACAAAGAGUCCAUUCAUGUGCUAUCAAAGCACUGAAUCACUUUCUUAUUUCCUUUCAUCCCUUCUGUUUGAUUCCUACUCUCAAAAAACAAAACCUUGGUUGAGUGCCAAAACGUAAAUUAGGAUCUUCAUUAGAACCAUCAAAUCUAAAUUACUAUUCAAUUAACAGGCCAGUCAACCUCAACUAAUCAACCAAUUAG
ensembl:lncRNA